rnacentral:rRNA from 1 species
GCCAGAGGAGAUAGCACAUUGAACACACCAGUUUCCAAUAAAUAACUGAAGUUAAGCUACUUUGUGCGGGGUUUGUAUUCGGAUGGCUGACCAUCAGGAUUCUGGGUCCUGCUGGAU